rnacentral:rRNA from 1 species
CCUACGGGAGGCAGCAGUGAGGAAUAUUGGUCAAUGGACGAGAGUCUGAACCAGCCAAGUAGCGUGAAGGAUGACUGCCCUAUGGGUUGUAAACUUCUUUUAUAUGGGAAUAAAACAGGGUAUGCAUACCCUCUUGUAUGUACCAUAUGAAUAAGGAUCGGCUAACUCCGUGCCAGCAGCCGCGGUAAUACGGAGGAUCCGAGCGUUAUCCGGAUUUAUUGGGUUUAAAGGGAGCGUAGGUGGAUUGUUAAGUCAGUUGUGAAAGUUUGCGGCUCAACCGUAAAAUUGCAGUUGAAACUGGCAGUCUUGAGUACAGUAGAGGUGGGCGGAAUUCGUGGUGUAGCGGUGAAAUGCAUAGAUAUCACACAGAACACCGAUUGCGAAGGCAUCUGACGAAUCGGAGAUUGACGCUGAUGCACGAAAGCGUGGGUAUCGAACAGGAUUAGAUACCCGGGUAGUC